CCUACGGGAGGCUGCAGUGAGGAAUAUUGGUCAAUGGACGGAAGUCUGAACCAGCCAUGCCGCGUGCAGGAAGACGGCUCUAUGAGUUGUAAACUGCUUUUGUACAAGGGUAAACCUGAAUACGUGUAUUCAGUUGAGAGUACUGUACGAAUAAGGAUCGGCUAACUCCGUGCCAGCAGCCGCGGUAAUACGGAGGAUCCAAGCGUUAUCCGGAUUUAUUGGGUUUAAAGGGUGCGUAGGCGGAUUGAUAAGUUAGCGGUGAAAUGUCCGAGCUUAACUCGGGUACUGCCUCUAAUACUGGUGAUCUAGAGAGUAGGUGCGGUAGGCGGAAUGUAUGGUGUAGCGGUGAAAUGCUUAGAGAUCAUACAGAACACCGAUUGCGAAGGCAGCUUACCAAUCUAUAACUGACGUUGAGGCACGAAAGCGUGGGGAGCAAACAGGAUUAGAUACCCUGGUAGUC
rnacentral:rRNA from 1 species